AUUGAACGCUGGCGGCAGGCCUAACACAUGCAAGUCGAACGAGUGGCGGACGGGUGAGUAAUGUCUGGGAAACUGCCCGAUGGAGGGGGAUAACUACUGGAAACGGUAGCUAAUACCGCAUCCCAUCGGAUGUGCCCAGAUGGGAUUAGCUAGUAGGUGGGGGAACGGCGCACCUAGGCGACGAUCCCUAGCUGGUCUGAGAGGAUGACCAGCCACACUGGAACUGAGACACGGUCCAGACUGCUACGGGAGGCAGCAGUGGGGAAUAUGGGACAAUGGGCGCAAGCCUGAUGCAGGCAUGCCGCGUGUAUGAAGAAGGCCUUCGGGUUGUAAAGUACUUUCAGCGGGGAGGCGUUACUCGCAGAAGAAGCACCGGCUAACUACGUGCCAGCAGCCGCGGUAAUAC
rnacentral:rRNA from 1 species